AGCUGGCAACAGUCCUCCCACUCGGGCACCCGGCUUGGCAGGGCUCACCCGGUCCGAGUGCUGUGCCCGUGUCCCUUCAGCUCAGCCGCGCCCUAGAGCGGAGGAAACCCAGGCAGGCAGCCUCAGGCCAGCAGGGGCCGGGCUACGGGCACCCCCCUGUCCUGGAGAGCUUGGGGCAGGAGCAGCUCAGGGCUCCACUGGGGAGCCAACUGCUCCGGGGGCUGCAGAGGCCAAAGCCACAAACAAGAUUGGCUGGCAGGGCUCAGCCGGCGGGCCCCACAGCGUGGCAGCUGCCGGGGGCUGAGCGUGGUGGAGCGGGAGAGGACCUGGAGGGCUCUGAUGUCCAGAUUCCCUGCAGGCCCCCGAAGCUUCCCGACUAACCCCCUCCCUGCGAUGGGCAGGAGGCCCUCUGGCCAGACACCCCAGGGGAUGCUCCUCGGAGACCAUCUGCUCACCCAAGCCCGCGCCGCCCCAGAAGGAAGAUGCGGGCGGGGCCAGCUGCACCCCCUGGCACCACGGCCUCAGCGGGGAGACAAGAGUUUGCAAUGGAAAGCAGCCAUGAAAAGCAGG
rnacentral:lncRNA from 1 species